GAUCUCAGCAUCAGUCUCUCUCUACCUCUGGAGGUGGAAUAUCAGGAUAAAAACAGCUACAGCUGUGUGCUCAACAAUCCCAUCAGCAACCAGACUCAACAUCUGGACAUCACUCAGCUCUGUCACACAUUCACAGUGACUGCUUACAUCUCACUGAUAAUGCUGAUUGCUGCCGCUGGAUCUCUGUUGAUUGUAAUUUCACUCGUCAUCUGCUGCAUCUGCAAGAAAUAUAGAAAAACAGUCACGUCACAGGAAGAAGACACGACUGAUUUAGAAUUUUAUAACCCAGCAACACAAGACACGAAAUCAAAGACGGAUGGUUUGCGUGAAAAUGUCCCCAAAAAACAGUGUUUAGAUGUGAGGUUGUCUUAUUUUUAGAUCACCGGAAUUCAUGCUUUGAACAGACUGAAAAUAAAAUGUAAUAUACGUCUGAAAAUAAAGUUGGAUAUUCCAAUG